rnacentral:rRNA from 1 species
UACAGAGGGUGCAAGCGUUGUUCGGAAUUACUGGGCGUAAAGCGUGCGCAGGCGGUGAUGUAAGACAGAUGGGAAAUCCCCGGGCUCAACCUGGGAACUGCAUUUGUGACUGCAUCGCUGGAGUGCGGCAGAGGGGGAUGGAAUUCCGCGUGUAGCAGUGAAAUGCGUAGAUAUGCGGAGGAACACCGAUGGCGAAGGCAAUCCCCUGGGCCUGCACUGACGCUCAUGCACGAAAGCGUGGGGAGCAAACAGG